rnacentral:lncRNA from 1 species
UUAUUUCCAUCUUGCACACGUGGAUCUCUUCCCCUUUGGACUGAUGCCUGGGGCAGAGUCAGCCUGAGGCUCGAGCCUCUAAUAAAGGACCAAAACUUUGUUGUGACAGUGACUUUGAAUGAAGUAGUAAGCCUUUCUGCAUGUCAUUAUCUGUUGUACAAAAUUUGGCUAAAAUUAAUAAACAAUCGCAAAUGCAAAGCAUUAUUAAGCCUGGGUGGAGUCUGCACUAGGAUUCAUUCUGUUCCUCGUCUUUGUAGCUGUUGGCCAACCCAUUCUCCACGCUCCAGCACCAUUCCCCUGCAGCAUCUGGAUGAAAUGUGUAGUGAGGGAUAUUUUCACAUUGUCACAAGUACUCUGCGAUGUGCAAAUUGUUUUGCUUUCCUGAAGCUGCUUCCUAACUUCUUGGACAGCUCUGCUGUACCAGGGAAAAGCCACCGGAGAACAGAGCUGGUGGAGCUCCGUGCCGGGGUGUGUGUCACCCCUCGGUGCAGGACGUGUCCAAGCUGUGGGAAGAGCCUGGGGAGAGAGGCAGAAGUAAUAUGUGAGGGAAACACCUUCCUCCUGGCUGCGAUAACGUGAAGGGAGAGGCGCUGGGGCCUCAGCCCUCCUGGGUGAGGGGAGAGUGGGAGAUCCUGGAGAAGGAAGAGCAGCGUGGGACGGAGCGAGCAGCGCUGCUGUGGUGGUGUGUUCAGGUCUGUUUGUGUGGCGGGUCAGUGCUGUGGUGGGCCUGUGAGGCAACAGCUAACACCUCGGGGCUGAACAGGCCCAGCCCUCUGAGAGGCUGAGAGACAUGGGCCUGUCCAGCCUAGAGAUGAGGAGAAAAGUAUGCUCUGGGAGAUCUCAUCCAUGUAUACAAAUAUCUGAAGGGAAGGUGCAGCCAGCCUCUUUUCAGUGGUGCCCAGAGCCAGGACAAGAGGCAGUGGGCACAAAUGGGCACACAGGAGGUUUCCUCUGAACCCCAGGAGGUGCUUUUGUGCUGUGUGGGUGGCUGAGCACUGGCACAGGCUUCCCAGAGAGGCUGCGGAGUCCCCUGCCUUAGAGAUCUCCAAAAGCUGCCUGGACGUGGUCCUGGGCAACCUGCUCUGGGUGGCCCUGCUUGAGCAGGGGUCGGACCAGAUGGCCUCCAGAAUUCCCUUCCCAGCUCAGCCAUUCUGUGAUCCUUUGGUUACACUUUCCAUUUGCUCCCCUCUUCUCACUCUAGAGUAUCCCCCAGGGCCCAAGGGAGAGUUCGUCCCAAGGCAAGCUGCUCCUCCUGCUGAUUAAAAAAUUAAAGCCCAGCAAUCAGGAGGGGUCUCCUUUCCACCAGUUACGAGGUUGUUGUCCCCCCAUCCUUCCCCUUUCUGAGUGUAAUGCAGACUGCGAGAGCAAAAUUUCAAACAUGACGGUACUGUAGGCGCUCUGUGUAUGUAGAGAAAUUGGAGGAUUAAGAGCGAGAAUGACUGAGUGGUAGAGCCUUGUAUAAAAAUGACAGAUGCCCUGGUUUAAAAGGUGGCAAUUUGCCUAUGCAGUGAAAUGGUUCUGUCAAGGCGUCAGGAAAU